GCCCAGCCGUAAACAAAGACAGUAAAAAACACAACACUGUUCGCCAGAGAACUACAAGCUAAGGCUCAAAACUCCAAGGACUUGGCGGUGCUCCACAUCAUCCUAGAGGAGCCUGUCCUAUAAUCGAUACCCCCCGAUCUACCUCACCACUUUUUGAAACUCAGCCUAUAUACCGCCGUCGUCAGCCUACCUUAUGAAAGAAGUAUAGUAAGCAAAAUAAUCACCAAUUAAAACGUCAGGUCAAGGUGUAGCACAUAAAAUGGAAGAGAUGGGCUACACUCUCUACCCCAGAGAACACGAACAGCAUCAAUGAAACCCCGCUCAAAGGUGGAUUUAGUAGUAAGAUAAGCAAGAGAGCUUAUCUUAAACCAGCUCUGGAGCGCGC
rnacentral:rRNA from 1 species